GUGCUCACUUUGGCAGCACACAUACCAAAAUUGGAAUAAUACAGAGAAGUGUAGCAUGGCCCCUGUGCAAAGAUGACAUGCAAAUCUGUGAAACGUUCCAUAUUUUA
rnacentral:snRNA from 1 species